rnacentral:lncRNA from 1 species
AGAGCUAUUUGAAUUCAGGGUUUUGAUGGCAAUAAUUAUAUUUAGUAAGAACUAAUCACUUUCAGAUUUUCAAAAAAACCAAAUGGAUGCUUUCCAAAAAUAGCUGAUUGCUUAUAAAAGUAUAAAUAUUUUCCCCGUAUAUGAGAAGACCAAUUGUGGGUUUUGCCUCCUUUAUAAAUUGGUUAAAUUAACAGUCUUACUUACAUCAUGAGGAAGUAGAUGAAUGGUUUAACCUCUACCACCAAGAAGAUUUAGUUGCAAUUUCAAGUGAUAGGAUGUUAUUACAUCUGGCAUUCAUAAAUUUAACUUUUAAAAAUGGGAUUUUAAAGGAAUGUACAGAAGCAAAAUUAUGCUAAUCAUAAUCUCAUCUCCUUUUAGAAGCUGCAGAGGUCAUGCAAUAUCUUACAGUGACUCUGGAGCAUCAUUUUGCACUCCAGUGAUUAUUGUGGCAGUAUUUUGUCAUGCAGAUUGCCUACCAUCACUU